UACAGAGGGGGCAAGCGUUAUUCGGAAUUAUUGGGCGUAAAGGGCGCGUAGGCGGGUUCGCAAGUCUGUGGUGAAAUCCUCCGGCUCAACCGGAGAACUGCCUCGGAUACUGCGGGUCUCGAGGGUGAUAGGGGUAUGCGGAACUAUCGGUGGAGCGGUGAAAUGCGUUGAUAUCGAUAGGAACUCCGGUGGCGAAGGCGGCAUACUGGAUCACUUCUGACGCUGAGGCGCGAAAGCCAGGGGAGCAAACGGG
rnacentral:rRNA from 1 species